UUUAGUUCCAAUAUAAACCCAUAGAAACGCAUUGGGUUUAUUUUUAGUGAGAGUGAAACCUCUCGCUUCGCCUCUUCCUCUGUGACAUUAAAACACCUGGGUUUCUGAGUAAUCGGUUUACUUCGAUUUUGACCUGACCUUUUGACUUUACGCCGAUUAAGAUAAGCAGAGUUUUUAUAUUUUUUUACUUUAGUUUAUUUGGUAAAUAUUUUCUUAACUUUCUUGAACUGCACUGUUGUUAAGGGCUUGUAAGUGAGCAUUUCACGGGAUUAACACCGGUAACCGGGAUCCCGAGACCACUCUUCACAGCAGACUGACAAAGAAUCUGAAUCCUGAGCCCUGACCCGACAUCACAGAAUUGAAAUGAGCCCGAACCCCCUCCAAAAAAUCCAGAUUUCUAUAAAACAGACCUGAGCCCUAGGACCAUGCCUCAGAACUACCUAGCAUGAUGACUCCUUGCUGUCCCCAGUCCACCUGGUCGUGCUGCUGCUCCAGUUUCAAAUGUUCUGCCUGUGGCUAUGGAACCCUGACCUGUUCACCGGACGUGCUACCUGUCCCAGACCUGCUGUUUUCAACUCUCUAGAGACAGCAAGAGCGGUAGAGAUACUCUCAAUGAUCGGCUAUGAAAAGCCAACUGACAUUUACUCCUGAGGUGCUGACCUGUUGCACCCUCAACAACCACUGUGAUUAUUAUUAUUUGACCCUGCUGGUCAUCUAUGAACAUUUGAACAUCUUGGCCAUGUUCUGUUAUAAUCUCCACCCGUCACAACCAGAAGAGGACUGGCCACCCCUCAUAGCCUGGUUCCUCUCUAGGUUUCUUCCUAGGUUUUGGCCUUUCUAGGGAGUUUUUCCUAGCCACCGUGCUUCUACACCUGCAUUACUUGCUGUUUGGGGUUUUAGGCUGGGUUUCUGUAUAGCACUUUGAGAUAUCAGCUGAUGUAAGAAGGGCUUUAUAAAUACAUUUGAUUUGAUUUGAGAUGAGGAAACAGCCGUUGGGCCUUGAAAAAGCUUAGAGACAGGAAAACUCCCCUUAGUUAUGAUCAACUGAAUGAUGAACAAAUUGGAAUGAAAUAGGCUAAUGCAAUUGAAGGCAUGUAUCACAUUCUUGCCUAUACAGAAACUCCCAAGGUCUCAACCUUUAAGUCUUUACUGAAGACUCAUCUCUUCAGUAGGUCCUAAGACCCAGGGGUGUGAAGGUGAAUGGAAAGGCACUGGAACGACGAACUGCCUUUGCUGUCUCUGCCUGGCCGGUUGCCCUCUCUCCACUGGGAUUCUCUGCCUCUAACCCUAUUACAGGGGCUGAGUCACUGGCUUACUGGUGCUCUUCCAUGCCGUCGUGAUCUUCCUGUCCAGAUUGGCACCCCCCAGGUUUGUGCCGUGGGGGAGAUCUUCAUGGGCUAUGCUCGGCCUUGUCUCAGGGUAGUAAGUUGGUGCAUUGGCAAAGUGUGUGGAGUUAUAUCCUGCCUGGUUGGACCUGUCCGGGGGUAUCGUCGGACGGGGCCACAGUGGCUCCCGACCCCUCCUGUCUCAGCCUCCAGUAUUUAUGCUGCAAUAGUUUAUGUACUGGGGGCUAGGACCAGUCUGUUAUAUCUGGAGUUUUUCUCCUGUCUUAUCCGGUGUCCUGUGUGAAUUUAAGUAUGCUCCUGCUCCCUCUAAUUCUCUCCCUCCCCUCCCGGAGGACCUGAGCCCUGGGACCAUGCCUCAGGACUACCUGACUCCUUGCUGUCCCCAGUCCACCUGGUCGUGCUGCUGUUCCAGUUUCAACUGUUCUGCCUGUGGCUAUGGAACCCUGACCUGUUCACCGGACGUGCUACCUUGUCCCGGACGUGCUGUUUUCGACUCUCUCUUUCUCAACCGCACCUGCUGUCUCUAACUCUGAAUGCUCGGCUAUGACAAUCCAACUGACAUUUACUCCUGAGGUGCUGACCUGUUGCACCCUCUACAACCACUAUGAUUAUUAUUAUCUGACCCUGCUGGUCAUCUAUGAACAUCUUGGCCAUGUUCUGUUAUAAUCUCCACCCGGCCCACCCCUCAUAGCCUGGUUCCUCUCUAGGUUUUUUCCUAGGUUCUGGCCUUUCUAGGGAGUUUUUCCUAGCCACUGUGCUCCUACACCUGCAUUGCUUGCUGUUUGGGGUUUUAGACUGGGUUUCUGUACAGUACUUUGAGACAUCAGCUGAUGUAAAAAGGGCUUUAUAAAUACAUUUGAUUUAUAUCCAACCGUUAUACUAAUUUAAAGCAAUAGUUGUGUGUGGUCACUUACAUUAUACAUGUUGACAAGUGUGGGGGACUCGUCUAGAUAAAUCAAUCCAUGUCACAUCUUUGUUUUCAUUGAAUCUCCGUUUGGAUAUUUGUUAACAAUUAGAUUGGGGAAAUGUUAGCUAAAUUGAGGUGUUUGCUAAUUAUCAUAUUUUUUCUAGUUUGCUCAUAUAUUAGCUGAUCAGAAUAUUUUGCUAGCGUGUUCUUUGUCCUAGCAUGAACUGUAUGUUUUUUCAUUUACGAUUUAGUCACGUCUCCCCCACGUCAAUGUAAAAAUGACCAUGUAUUUUUUUAUUUAUUUUUAUUCUUUGUUGAUCAGAACAUUUUGUUAGCGUGUUAUACAUUAGCCGAUCAGAACAUUUUGCUAGCGUGUUAUACAUUAGCUGAUCAGAACAUUUUGUUAGCGUGUUAUACAUUAGCUGAUCAGAACAUUUUGUUAGCGUGUUAUACAUUAGCCGAUCAGAACAUUUUGUUAGCGUGUUAUACAUUAGCCGAUCAGAACAUUUUGCUAGCGUGUUAUACAUUAGCUGAUCAGAACAUUUUGUUAGCGUGUUAUACAUUAGCUUAUCAGAACAUUUUGCUAGCGUGUUAUACAUUAGCUGAUCAGAACAUUUUGCUAGCGUGUUAUAUAUUAGCUGAUCAGAACAUUUUGUUAGCAUGUUAUAUAUUAGCCGAUCAGAACAUUUUGCUAGCGUAUUAUACAUUAGCUGAUCAGAACAUUUUGCUAGCGUGUUAUAUAUUAGCUGAUCAGAACAUUUUGUUAGCGUGUUAUACACGUGGAUUUUUCUCUUCAUCCUGUCCUACUUCCUACCAGAAUUCUGUGACUUGAUAAUCAAUCAAUGUGAUUUUGUUUCACUGAGUCUCUGUCUGUAUAUUUGGUUAAUUGAUCUCUGGCUGGACAAGUGGAAGUGGUAGCUCAUUUAUUCAAAACAUUUAGCGUGUUAUAAUGUAGCCUGAAUCAAAUGUUGACUCACACUAGAAGCCGCACAUCCUUAUUUAGAACAUAGACUGUUUUCCUGUCAUCCCAAUCCCACUUAUAUCUUCAUAUAGAACAUAGAUUGAUUUUUCUGUCAUCCCAAUCCCACUGAACCCCAAAAUCCUGACUCCUGUCUUGCAUGAAAGUUCCUAACUUUAUUCUGUAAUCCACAGGUUGCAUUAUCAAAGCACGUCUUGCCUAUGCAUGUCAGAAUACCUCUAUAACAUUUCCCCCACUUCUCUGCACUGUCUCCUAUUGCUGUCCUUGUGAGAGCUUCUCUGCACUGUCUCCUAUUGCUGUCCCUGUGAGAGCUUCUCUGCACUGUCUCCUAUUGCUGUCCCUGUGAGAGCUUCUCUGCACUGUCUCCUAUUGCUGUCCCUGUGAGAUCUUCUCUGCACUGUCUCCUAUUGCUGUCCCUGUGAGAUCUUCUCUGCACUGUCUCCUAUUGCUGUCCCUAUGAGAGCUUCUCUGCACUGUCUCCUAUUGCUGUCCCAAUGAGAGCUUCUCUGCACUGUCUCCUAUUGCUGUCCCUAUGAGAGCUUCUCUGCACUGUCUCCUAUUGCUGUCCCAAUGAGAGCUUCUCUGCACUGUCUCCUAUUGCUGUCCCAAUGAGAGCUUCUCUGCACUGUCUCCUAUUGCUGUCCCUAUGAGAGCUUCUCUGCACUGUCUCCUAUUGCUGUCCCUAUGAGAGCUUCUCUGCACUGUCUCCUAUUGCUGUCCCAAUGAGAGCUUCGUUAGAGAAUGUGUGAUCAACAAAAUGUAUGAAAGUGGGGAUGGAUAUAUUUUUAAAACAGUUGUUCCCCGUUAAGAUACCUUGAUAUUUUUACUAUUUCCACUCUUCAUGUCUCCGUUAUUAAUGAGCUGAUCUGCUAUCUAUAUAAUGAUCAACUCCAAUUGGCCAAAUAGGAGACAUUCUGUCAUUUGGUUGGUGGUUAUCAAGCUUAUCAACUUUGGUCAAUUGACUUUUGUUUUUGAUUUCCAUUAAUUACAACGUUUGAAUGAUUUGACAACGCUAUAGCCUACUCGGGUGUGGCGAUAGCCUAGGCUUACUGCUGAAAUGCGCUGAAUUAAUUGAGGAACAUGAUAAUGCUUGGAAUUUACGAACGGCCUGUUUCACAAUUCACAACAAUGUCAUUGUUGAUCAAAGUUUAAACUGAGAGCAUUCUGCAUCAUUCAGUCCAGUCAACUGAGAGCAUUCUGCAUCAUUCAGUCCAGUCAACUCAGAGCAUUCUGCAUCAUUCAGUCCAGUCAACUCAGAGCAUUCUGCAUCAUUCAGUCCAGUCAACUCAGAGCAUUCUGCAUCAUUCAGUCUCUCUCUCUCUCUCUCUCUCUCUCUCUCUCUCUCUCUCUCUCUCUCUCUCUCUCUCUCUCUCUCUCUCUCUCUCUCUCUCAAUAUAACCCUGCCAUCCCUCUAGAGGAGAUAUCUCGUCUCAGGCUG
rnacentral:lncRNA from 1 species